rnacentral:misc_RNA from 1 species
UUUUUUUUUUUUUAGGUUUCUCUCAGCAAUGCAAUGCUAGUAUUAUUGCAUUAAUAAAGAACGCAGUGUUCAGAAAUUUGGUUCUUUUAAUUAAAGCACAACGGCUAUUUUUGUCGAUUAUUUUCAGCUGAAUCCUCUCCUCGCUUGCAUUGCAUAGCGUUGUUGUUCAGGCUUUCAUCGUUAAUUAAACUGCAAGCUCUUCCGCCCCCGG